rnacentral:rRNA from 1 species
CCGGAUUUAUUGGGCGUAAAGAGCGUGUAGGCGGUCAGGUAGGUCCGUUGUGAAAACUCGAGGCUCAACCUCGAGACGCCGAUGGAAACCAUCUGACUAGAGUCCGGAAGAGGAGAGUGGAAUUCCUGGUGUAGCGGUGAAAUGCGCAGAUAUCAGGAAGAACACCCGUGGCUAAGGCGGCUCUCUAGUACGGUACUGACGCUGAGACGCGAAAGCGUGGGGAGCGAACAGG